UUGACUAGAAUUAGGGGUUUAGUUCAUCUUCGUUGAAGAAAUUCCACACCAAUUAGUCGAACUAAUUGACGUGAGUCUUCUCCCCCAAAAGUGAUGUAUUUUUAUUCGAAGAAAGUGAAAGAAAAGAUAAGAUAGUUUUUCUUGUGUCUUGCGACUAACUAAAAGAAAAAGUAUCCACUGACUACUAACUAGUCUUCCUAAAAGAGGGAAUAAAGCAACGAUAAAGAUGCUCUGCUGUUUUGUUUCCUAAUACUACUAGACUACUUCGACUAAUCGAAAUCAAAACCCCACUAGAUAAGGGAUUGUUUCCACAAAGUUAAGAUAAAUAAACUAGACUAGUGUCCCAAUAGAGAUAGGAGACCAAUCAUCAGGUGAAGCGAUGGACUGAUAGGUAUCAAAUUAGGAAAUUGAUUCAGAUUUGGAGAUUGCUCAAUAUCAAUACUGACUUUUCGACUUUGAGUAGUGAACUUAGGUGCGCCCCCGUGCAACCAUCAUAUGUUUUUCACUAGAAAAUCUUCAUUUAAGCACUUUGCAUUCCCGCUCCUGAAAUAAGCACAAAAUACCUAAUAUAAGUAGAACCUGACAAUUAAAAUAAUAUUUGGCUAAAAUCAAGGGGAGAAUAAUUAUAAAUUUAGUAACAAAUUUGACCUAUCAAUUUCCCCCACACCUAAACCAUACUUGUUCUCAAGCAUGAGAACACGAAUCAAGUAAUCAAAUUCAAACAAUGGUAUUCCUCAAAUCUUCUAUUGCUAAGAUACAAUUAAAACACAUGUCAAGUAUUAGUGGCAAUUUGCAAGAAAUAUCUCUCCAAUUAGCUUUCAAGAUCAAUGACUCUUUCAAUUUAUGACCAACUAAUCUAAGAAUAUAAAAUAUUCAACCAGCAUCCAUAAGCAAAUAGUUCGACUAUUAAGCAAAAUCUCAACAUUCAGCAGGUUAACAAUUCAUUCACAUUUUUCACUAUUAGCACUUUUUUUUUUUUUAAAUAUCCCCACACUUGAUUGAUUUUUUUUCUUCAAGGGGGAAUGCUUAGUUUUUAACCAUUUAAGCGGUUUAACGCGAACUCCGACAUUGGCCAAAUGAAGGAGUCCGGUUACUCAACUUUUAUCGCUAAAAAAUCACAUACUCAUAGUUAUUGUCGUUUUUUGACGCGAAAGUCGACACUUGUGGCAAAGACUUCCAGUUACUAGGCAACGAUACUAGCGGAGUAUAAUUGAAUACUAUUCAUAAAUAAGCACCAAAUUAAAAUUAAAAAUCACACAAAUCCGUUUCAUUUCUUAAAUAUGGAGAACUAAGAUUAAUAGCUGAACCAAUUUGCACAAAAAAUGCUAGACAAAUAUUUACAAUACUUAGAGAAAUUAAUCAAAAAGUGUAAAAGUCACAAUCUCAAAUUUCACCAAAGAGAUACCCUUAAAUUUAAUUAUGUCAUACUUAACACCUUAAACUAUAAAAUCUUAGCAAUAGAAAAAUUUGAGACAUCUAACCAUCGUUUAUCAGGAAUAAUCACAAAUAUACACAAAGACAUACAAAAAUUGGACAAAAUUUGACAAAGUCAAACAAAAAAUUCCAACAGAAAUGCCUACACUUGCAUUUUUUUAAUAAAAUACCAAUAUACUACUCCCCCCACACCUAAAUCUUACAUUGUCCCCAAUGUAAGCAAUAAAGAAUAAAAUUUAAAGCAAAAAAGGACAACGAAACUCCUCUGAUCAUCAAAGGGGGGUUGUGGUACAGUUGUAGGUGAGCAGCAAAAGACAUGUAGAGUUCGAUGGCAAAACUGAUGACGAUGAAGGCUAUGAUCGGCAGCUAAGGAUAUCAUGUGGCUUACGAUGGAUGAGGAAGAAUUACGCGCGAUGAGCAGCGAUAAUCAGGAACUGACGACCCACGUUGAACAGCGCAACGGUGGCGGUAGAAUUUGAAGUCCUUUGGUUGCGGUCUUGCGGUUGGAAAGGAAAAGAAAGGAAUAAAAAGGAAAGGGAGAGAAGAAGAA
rnacentral:lncRNA from 1 species